CCUACGGGCGGCAACAGUGGGGGAUAUUGCGCAAUGGGGGCAACCCUGAUGCAGCAACGCCGCGUGUGGGAAGAAGGCUUUCGGAUUGUAAACCUCUGUUCUCGGUGAAGAUUAUAACGGUAUCCCUGUAGAAUGCUCCGGCUAACUACGUGCCAGCAGCCGCGGUAAUACGUAGGGGGCAAGCGUUGUCCGGAUUUACUGGGUGUGAAGGGUGCGUAGGCGGGCUUGCAAGUCAGAAGUGAAAACCAGCGGCUCAACCUGAGGACUGCGUUUGAAACUGUGGGGCUUGAGUGAAGUAGAGGCAGGCGGAAUUCCCGGUGUAGCGGUGAAAUGCGUAGAGAUCAGGAGGAACACCAGUGGCGAAGGCGGCCUACUGGGCAUUAACUGACGGUGAGGCACGAAAGCAUGGGUAGCAAACAGGAUUAGAUACCCUGGUAGUC
rnacentral:rRNA from 1 species